UUUGCAAGUAUUAAAAUAACUUUUCCUCCCGAAAAUCAGUGAGCUGACUUAAAUUUGUUUAGCACCUAUAAAUAAUGUAGCAAUAUUAUUGUAAAAAUUAAAGUCAGAGGCUACAUACCUAUCGCACUGAUUGAUAUCUGGUUUUUCACGCUACCAGCUUUAGCUGCACCAGCUGUAAACACAGCUAGUAAAAUAGACCAAGGAAAAGCUUGGUCUAUCCCCUUAUUAAAAACAAAUCUAUAGACACCCGUAGGCCCAAAAUCAGCCAACAUUACAUCACGUUCCAGUAUAUUCCUAAAAACUAUCACAAAAUAAAUACAAACUAAGUGAAAUAGUUGCACUAAUAUCUAUCCAACUUACCUAUGCAAAGAUCAGUAUUUCUCCCAAACACGAAGAAGGAACUCGGCAAACAUUUAUUUCGACUGUUUAACAAAAACAUUGCCUGUGGACCACCCCAUCUCAGGUAAGCCCUGCCCAGUGAUCAUUAUUAAACGGCCGCGGUACCCUGACCGUGCAAAGGUAGCAUAAUCCUUUGCCUCUUAAUUAGAGGCUAGUAUGAACGGGUCAACGAAAUAAAACUGUCUCCUCCGCGCCCCUAAAAAUUUUUCUUCAGGUGCAGAAACCUGAAUCCCUAUAAAAGACAAGAAGACCCUGACGAGCUUUAAUCCUAAGUAGGCCAUAACCCCCCCCUACAAAGAUAUUUAUUGGGGCAAUAAUGGAGCACAAAAAACCUCCAGCAAAUAUACGACACCAAGUCUCUCCCCAGAUCCCAACAAAGGACCAAAGGCAAUAGCUACCGCAGGGAUAACAGACUAAUUUUCCUCAAGAGCCCAAAUCUACAGGAAAGUUUGGCACCUCGAUGUUGGCUUAAAGAAUUCUCUUAGGAGCAUCAGCCUAAGCAAUGGGUUUGUUCAACCCUUAAAACUUUACAUGA
rnacentral:rRNA from 1 species